GAAUCCAUAUAUAUGUUCCUUGCUAUAUGCGUGGUUCGCCUUCCGUGCUCUUAAUGCUUACCAUUCACAAAUCACAACCAACCCCUUCAAUUCAUUCAUUUUCUCUUCCUUACUUGUUUCCCUUAUCUCUCACUCCCCACACAUAUUUAAUCAUCCUACACCCUUUAUUCCUCCACACUAAGUAUCUUUCACUUUCAUUUUUUGUGCAUUCUUCUCUUUCAAAACAAGUGCAACAAGAAUUAAUCAGCAAAGAUGGUGAUGAUGGGUCUUGGAAGGCUGGUGGUGAGUCUAAAAUCCAAAAUAAGGUCUUUGAAACUGAAGAAACCUUACUAUGAUAAGAUGGAGAAGAGUGAGAGCAUGAGAGUAGAGAUAAGAAGCAAAAAGGCCAGAAAGCUUAUUGAAGAGACCCUCAAAAUUGCUGAUUCACCAAAGUCUAGAACCUUCACCCUAUGAUGCUAUUAUGCACAUGCUACCUUACAAUGUUCAGUGUAUGUACUAGUAAAAAACUCUUCACUAAUUAAUUAUGGUUCUGUUCUUUUAUAUAGUUUCUGUUUGAAUUUCAACGAGGUACUCUAAUUAGUCAGCUUUAUCUCUCAUGCAUCCCACCAAGAACUCAAAGGCCACCAUGUGCUAAUUAUGUUGUGUAUAAGUCUAGAACUUUGUUCUAAUCUUAGAUUGGUGUGAAGCAUGCAAGGACUUUGAAGAA